CACAAAACAAUACAAUUCACAGUUUAUUGGCUUAUUUUUAGAACCAAAUAACACAAAUAAAAUAAACACUAAAGUAUUGCAGUCUGUAUUGAGGAGUUUUCAGUUGCAUCGCUACGCCAGUAGGUGGCGUCAAAGUGAGUGAAUCUUUGAAUCAUUCGAAUCAACAAAACAUUGAUUCACUUAAUAAGAGUGAAUCACCUUUAAGAUGCAGACCUACUGUACUCGGAGAUACUCGACGGUUGAUAAAAACAGUUCACUGGUGAAGCAAAAAUAUUCAAACUAACUGUCAAUAUUGUUUCUGAAAUGGCCUGUCCAUGCCUGUUAUUGUGCCCGUUAGUGGAUCUUUCUAUCAGGCUGGCGCUGUUCACAGGGAUGAAAGAAACUAAUAUUGGCUUGAGCCAUCACGGUGAGUAAAUGAUGAUAUA